CUUCAGAGCCCUGAAAACUGUGGGUGGUGCCUCAGACAGUGAUGAUAGAAGGAGCCCUCUGGAGAAAGCAUGUUGGACUUGGGAAUUUGGGAGAUGAGAAAAGCCUUUACUCUCACCCUAUACCCUCUGAAGAGUCUCUUCAUUAAGAUCUUCUGGGAACCUACCACUCUGACCUCGAGAAGGCUUGAAGUAGAGUCACAUCAAAGAACAAUGCCGUGAGCACACAUCUCCCUUCACGACUCCUGGUCCAGGCCUCAAAACAAGGGAGCCAGCUGACCAUGAGUUGAAACCCCUGGAACUGUGAGCUGAAAUGAAAUUGCCCACCUUUUAAGAAUUUUAUCUCAGGUAAGCCAGGCUAGCUGACCCAGGAGCCUCCAGGGAUUCUCCAGUCUCUACUUCCUAUCUCUGUAAAACACUGAGAUUACAGAUAUCUGCUACUAUACCUGAUUUUACAGGUGUUCUGGGGGUUCAAACUCAAGUCCUCAUGCUUGAAUGGCAAUGAGUAUUGGUUAUCUCCAAAGUCCCAAAUGAAAGGAUUGCCUAUCCAAAGAAAAAUCUACAAUUAAAAGAGAAAUCUCUGAUUGUGGCAAUGAACAUUUUUAAUAAAGUAGAUGCUUGUGUGGGGUGGGACUGGAGAACUAAGGCAUGAUGAACUCAUCUAUCACUGAAGAUUUGUACUAGGGUACAGAUCCCUAUAGCAGAGUUGUCCUAGGAAAGAGACAUUCCUGGAGUCUGGAUUCUUUGGUUCAUACUACCUGACAAUGGUGGUUUGGAAACCUGGGGCCACUGGGAGCAAUAUCUGCAGCCAUAUUCCUUCUGAGGAUCAGAGAGAAUGAAGUUCAUGAGGACAGACCAGGUAGCCCAGCCAAUGCACAAAUCUCAUAGCAAACAAAUAAACUAAAAAGUGAAUAGAACAAGCUUUGAUUCCUCUCCUGGUAAUGGGCAAAGCUGGUACUGCCUACCUACAUCAAUAUCUAAGACCAAUCAGGAAAUGGCUUAUGGAUAACUCUCCAAGCCUUCCCACAGAAUCUGCACCUCAGUUGCCGUUGUCUUCCCACCCAACGGAGGAAAUUCCAAGGUUCUCUCAAAUGUUGUAG
rnacentral:lncRNA from 1 species